rnacentral:rRNA from 1 species
AGAGCGAACGCUGGCGGCAGGCCUAAUACAUGCAAGUCGAACGGACCCUUCGGGGUUAGUGGCGGACGGGUGAGUAACGCGUAGGUAUCUAUCCUUGGGUGGGGGACAACUGUGGGAAACUACAGCUAAUACCGCAUGAUAACUGAGGUUUAAAGGCGCAAGUCGCCUGGGGAGGAGCCUGCGUACGAUUAGCUUGUUGGUGGGGUAAAGGCCUACCAAGGCGACGAUCGUUAGCUGGUCUGAGAGGAUGAUCAGCCACAUUGGGACUGAGACACGGCCCAAACUCCUACGGGAGGCAGCAGUGGGGAAUAUUGGACAAUGGGCGCAAGCCUGAUCCAGCAAUGCCGCGUGUGUGAAGAAGGUCUUCGGAUUGUAAAGCACUUUCGACGGGACGAUGAUGACGGUACCCGUAGAAGAAGCCCGGCUAACUCGCGCCAGCAGCCGC